rnacentral:rRNA from 1 species
GGGUUGUGAGGUUAAGCGACUAAGCGUACACGGUGGAUGCCCUGGCAGUCAGAGGCGAUGAAGGACGUGCUAAUCUGCGAUAAGCGUCGGUAAGGUGAUAUGAACCGUUAUAACCGGCGAUUUCCGAAUGGGGAAACCCAGUGUGAUUCGUCACACUAUCAUUAACUGAAUCCAUAGGUUAAUGAGGCGAACCGGGGGAACUGAAACAUCUAAGUACCCCGAGGAAAAGAAAUCAACCGAGAUUCCCCCAGUAGCGGCGAGCGAACGGGGAGCAGCCCAGAGCCUGAAUCAGUGUGUGUGUUAGUGGAAGCGUCUGGAAAGGCGUGCGAUACAGGGUGACAGCCCCGUACACAAAAAUGCACAUAUUGUGAGCUCGAUGAGUAGGGCGGGACACGUGGUAUCCUGUCUGAAUAUGGGGGGACCAUCCUCCAAGGCUAAAUACUCCUGACUGACCGAUAGUGAACCAGUACCGUGAGGGAAAGGCGAAAAGAACCCCGGCGAGGGGAGUGAAAAAGAACCUGAAACCGUGUACGUACAAGCAGUGGGAGCACGCUUAGGCGUGUGACUGCGUACCUUUUGUAUAAUGGGUCAGCGACUUAUAUUCUGUAGCAAGGUUAACCGAAUAGGGGAGCCGAAGGGAAACCGAGUCUUAACUGGGCGUUAAGUUGCAGGGUAUAGACCCGAAACCCGGUGAUCUAGCCAUGGGCAGGUUGAAGGUUGGGUAACACUAACUGGAGGACCGAACCGACUAAUGUUGAAAAAUUAGCGGAUGACUUGUGGCUGGGGGUGAAAGGCCAAUCAAACCGGGAGAUAGCUGGUUCUCCCCGAAAGCUAUUUAGGUAGCGCCUCGUGAAUUCAUCUCCGGGGGUAGAGCACUGUUUCGGCAAGGGGGUCAUCCCGACUUACCAACCCGAUGCAAACUGCGAAUACCGGAGAAUGUUAUCACGGGAGACACACGGCGGGUGCUAACGUCCGUCGUGAAGAGGGAAACAACCCAGACCGCCAGCUAAGGUCCCAAAGUCAUGGUUAAGUGGGAAACGAUGUGGGAAGGCCCAGACAGCCAGGAUGUUGGCUUAGAAGCAGCCAUCAUUUAAAGAAAGCGUAAUAGCUCACUGGUCGAGUCGGCCUGCGCGGAAGAUGUAACGGGGCUAAACCAUGCACCGAAGCUGCGGCAGCGACACUGUGUGUUGUUGGGUAGGGGAGCGUUCUGUAAGCCUGCGAAGGUGUGCUGUGAGGCAUGCUGGAGGUAUCAGAAGUGCGAAUGCUGACAUAAGUAACGAUAAAGCGGGUGAAAAGCCCGCUCGCCGGAAGACCAAGGGUUCCUGUCCAACGUUAAUCGGGGCAGGGUGAGUCGACCCCUAAGGCGAGGCCGAAAGGCGUAGUCGAUGGGAAACAGGUUAAUAUUCCUGUACUUGGUGUUACUGCGAAGGGGGGACGGAGAAGGCUAUGUUGGCCGGGCGACGGUUGUCCCGGUUUAAGCGUGUAGGCUGGUUUUCCAGGCAAAUCCGGAAAACUAAGGCUGAGGCGUGAUGACGAGGCACUACGGUGCUGAAGCAACAAAUGCCCUGCUUCCAGGAAAAGCCUCUAAGCAUCAGGUAACAUCAAAUCGUACCCCAAACCGACACAGGUGGUCAGGUAGAGAAUACCAAGGCGCUUGAGAGAACUCGGGUGAAGGAACUAGGCAAAAUGGUGCCGUAACUUCGGGAGAAGGCACGCUGAUAUGUAGGUGAAGUCCCUCGCGGAUGGAGCUGAAAUCAGUCGAAGAUACCAGCUGGCUGCAACUGUUUAUUAAAAACACAGCACUGUGCAAACACGAAAGUGGACGUAUACGGUGUGACGCCUGCCCGGUGCCGGAAGGUUAAUUGAUGGGGUCAGCGCAAGCGAAGCUCUUGAUCGAAGCCCCGGUAAACGGCGGCCGUAACUAUAACGGUCCUAAGGUAGCGAAAUUCCUUGUCGGGUAAGUUCCGACCUGCACGAAUGGCGUAAUGAUGGCCAGGCUGUCUCCACCCGAGACUCAGUGAAAUUGAACUCGCUGUGAAGAUGCAGUGUACCCGCGGCAAGACGGAAAGACCCCGUGAACCUUUACUAUAGCUUGACACUGAACAUUGAGCCUUGAUGUGUAGGAUAGGUGGGAGGCUUGGAAGUGUGGACGCCAGUCUGCAUGGAGCCGACCUUGAAAUACCACCCUUUAAUGUUUGAUGUUCUAACGUUGACCCGUAAUCCGGGUUGCGGACAGUGUCUGGUGGGUAGUUUGACUGGGGCGGUCUCCUCCUAAAGAGUAACGGAGGAGCACGAAGGUUGGCUAAUCCUGGUCGGACAUCAGGAGGUUAGUGCAAUGGCAUAAGCCAGCUUGACUGCGAGCGUGACGGCGCGAGCAGGUGCGAAAGCAGGUCAUAGUGAUCCGGUGGUUCUGAAUGGAAGGGCCAUCGCUCAACGGAUAAAAGGUACUCCGGGGAUAACAGGCUGAUACCGCCCAAGAGUUCAUAUCGACGGCGGUGUUUGGCACCUCGAUGUCGGCUCAUCACAUCCUGGGGCUGAAGUAGGUCCCAAGGGUAUGGCUGUUCGCCAUUUAAAGUGGUACGCGAGCUGGGUUUAGAACGUCGUGAGACAGUUCGGUCCCUAUCUGCCGUGGGCGCUGGAGAACUGAGGGGGGCUGCUCCUAGUACGAGAGGACCGGAGUGGACGCAUCACUGGUGUUCGGGUUGUCAUGCCAAUGGCACUGCCCGGUAGCUAAAUGCGGAAGAGAUAAGUGCUGAAAGCAUCUAAGCACGAAACUUGCCCCGAGAUGAGUUCUCCCUGACUCCUUGAGAGUCCUGAAGGAACGUUGAAGACGACGACGUUGAUAGGCCGGGUGUGUAAGCGCAGCGAUGCGUUGAGCUAACCGGUACUAAUGAACCGUGAGGCUUAACCUUACAACGCCGAAGGUGUUU